rnacentral:rRNA from 1 species
CAAGAGGUGGAUUAGAUACCCGGGUAGUCCACGCCGUAAACGAUGAGAACUAGCCGUUUGGCCCCUUGAGGGCUUAGUGGCGCAGCUAACGCGAUAAGUUCUCCGCCUGGGGAGUACGGCCGCAAGGUUAAAACUCAAAUGAAUUGACGGGGGCCCGCACAAGCGGUGGAGCAUGUUGUUUAAUUCGAGGCAACGCGAAAAACCUUACCACCACUUGACAUCCACGGAACUUUCCAGAGAUGGAUUGGUGC